GGGUGGUAGGUAUAGUGGUUAAAGCAUUUGGCUGCUAACCAAAAAGUUGGUGGUUUGAAACCAACAGCCCCUC
rnacentral:tRNA from 1 species